UCUGCAUGUCUGGAAAACGCUUGGAUUUAGUUCCUGUCUCCGCCUCCCAAAAUGUCUAGUGUAUUCGGAUUGGUCAGAUGACUACUCAACUGUUAUUGGUCAACUGGGUUCGGCGUGUGUUUGAAAGGUUACGCCCCUGACUACGCGUGGGUUUUCCGGUUCUGACUGAGAGUCACAGGCAACGUAAACAAGCGCUAUAUUUCUCUAUAAACGAUGGUGUCUGUACUGCCUUACCACUUCGAGCUCGAUCCAGAGAGUUCAGAAGGCCGUUACAAUAUAAACGAUCUCCGUCAAUGAACGCGAUUGGAUUUAACUUUUUUAGGUGUCCUUAGCUCUGCCAGAAUGCUAAACGAAGACGAAAAUGUGUUGCAAAGACAUCCAAAAGGUUUUAAGGAGAAUGCAACAGGUUCCAGGGCUUCUUACCUGCGUGAUUCAUCAUCCAGGUUUUGCACAAAUUGUCUAAAUCCCUACACACAGAACAUUUAUUGUACCGACUAUAAGCCUUUGAGGUGCAGGACUAGAAUACGCUUGGAGCUUCCUGAUCAGAUCGGUCACAAUUUUGGCUUUCGACGACCCCUGCACUGAAGAUGGCAUGCAAUCACGUCCUCCUUUGAAGGUCUCUCAAACUGUGAUGCCAGGUCCAUUGGAAUCAGGGCUUCCUUCAGCUUAUCUUCAAAUACCUCAUCAAAUACAAGCCUGAUCACAUCAUCC